UGGAAUUUGGGAUUUCCGCGUUUUGAGCCCCAAAAUGACAAAAGGGGACCCCAAAGUGACAAAAGGAGACCCCAAAGUGACAUUUUGGGGUGCUGAAUUUUUGGGGGACCCCCCCAAUUUUGGGGUUCCAGGUGCAUUUUGGGCGCUGGCUGAUCGAGGGCAGCCCGGCCGUGGUGCUGCUGGACGUGGGGGCCACGGCCUGGAGCCUGGAGCGCUGGAAGGGCGAGCUGUGGGAGAGCUGCGCCAUCGGCGUGCCCUGGUACGACCGCGAGGCCAACGACGCCGUGCUCUUCGGCUUCCUGGUGGCCUGGUUCCUGGGAGAGUUUGCGGCGCAGAGCGAGGAGCGGCCGUUCAUCGUGGGUCACUUCCACGAGUGGCUGGCGGGGCUGGGGCUGGUGCUGAGCCGCGCCCGGCGCCUGCCCGUGGCCACCAUCUUCACCACGCACGCCACCCUGCUGGGCCGCUACCUGUGCGCCGGGAGCGUGGACUUCUACAACAACCUGCACAGCGUGAGUGCACCUGGGGACACCUGGGGACACCUGGGGACACCUGGGGACACACCUGGGGACAUGGGGACACACCUGGGGACACACCUGGGCACACCUGGGGCAUUGGGGAUACACCUGGGGACACACCUGGGGCAUUGGGGACACACCUGGGGACAGGGGUCGGUACCUGUGUGCCGGGAGCGUGGACUUCUACAACAACCUGCACAGCGUGAGUGCACCUGGGGACACACCUGGGGACACCUGGGGACACCUGGGGACACACCUGGGGACAUGGGGACACACCUGGGGACACCUGGGGACACCUGGGGGGCUGGGAUACACCUGGGGACACACCUGGGGGGCUGGAACACACCUGGGACACAGCUGGGGAUGCAUCUGGGACAGAUCUGAGGACAUGGGGACACACCUGGAGACCUGGGGACACACCUGGGAAUGUCAGGGAAACACCUGGACACACCUGAGUGCAUCCUGGGUAUGUGGGGACACACCUGGGACACCCCUGGAGAUGUGGGGACACACCUGGGACACACCUGGGGACAUGGGGACACACCUGGGGACACACCUGGGGACACCUGGGGAC
rnacentral:lncRNA from 1 species